GGUAUCCUCCAAAUUUUUCACCGGCGACUCAUCCGCCGCGGCCCUGCCGCCUCUUCUCCUUUCUCAAAUAGGUAGAGGAACGAUUGGAUCUGAAGCACAAGCCGUCCCGGUACCCCCCGCUCUAAAUCAUUCACCGCCUUCUUCGUCGAUGCCGGACGACGAUCAAACUCCUAUCCCGCGCGCCCAUCAUCACAUCCUCCACUUUAUCUGCCUCUAUGAUGAAAGAACUAGUCAUCAGCCUCCACUUCCUCUCGAGUUCCGGAGUUCGUCUUGCCCAGAAGAAGAGAACCCGAACGCGAGCUCCUCCGGGAAUAAAUCGAGCGGCUGAUGUCCUUGUCGUGUCUCCCGGCGAGCGAAGAUGGAAGCCUGGAACGGAGCGUGAGAGGUUGGACUGGUGGAUGGGGCACUACUACAACGAAAAAGAAAGAACCGGCUAGGUUGGCUCAACUGCUGCUGGCCAAUUGCCAAAGCUGGGUGUUCGAGCGAUAGCAGCGGCGGCGUACAGGCUCGAUCGGAGAGAUCGAGUUUCCAUCCACAGUGAUGGAGUUUCUGGAACACGAUCCACCAAUGACGAAGGAUUAACUGCUGAAGGAUUAAAAAAGGAGGUUUUGCUUGGGAUUUUCUACAAAUAGACGGUGUUCAUGCGAUAAAGCUAAUCAUAUGUCAACAUUGAUCUGAAAAUUUCUUGGAAGGGUGAUCUAGAAUUAAAAUCUAGUUAUUA